UACGUAGGGUGCGAGCGUUAAUCGGAAUUACUGGGCGUAAAGCGUGCGCAGGCGGUUCGCUAAGACCGAUGUGAGAUCCCCGGGCUUAACCUGGGAACUGCAUUGGUGACUGGCGGGCUAGAGUGUGGCAGAGGGGGGUAGAAUUCCACGUGUAGCAGUGAAAUGCGUAGAGAUGUGGAGGAAUACCGAUGGCGAAGGCAGCCCCCUGGGCUAACACUGACGCUCAUGCACGAAAGCGUGGGGAGCAAACAGG
rnacentral:rRNA from 1 species